ensembl:lncRNA
GUACUGCUAACAUUGUUUCCUUGUGAGUUCAGCUAGCCCCAAAUUCAGUUAAGUCUUUGCUUAUGAAUCCCUUCGAAAGAAGAACAUUUGCAGAAAAAUUGCAAGUAAAUGAACAGAAGUGAACAUGACCCAACAAGCAAGAGAAAAGGAUAGAGCCUACAAGAGAAGUUUUUCCAGAGUUUGGUUCAGGCUUGGCUAACUAGCUGUGGGUAUGCCAAUGCAAUUUUUUGCUUUCCUUGUAUACUUUUUAAAAUAAGUGCGUGCGAUAGUUUGUGGACACAGACAGGGUUGACAGACCUGAAACAUCUGUCAGAACGGAUAAAAAAAACACAAGCGAGCAAGAGUGCAUAUGAACAACUGUGUGAAGCUAGCCAUGCUAGAGCGCUGUCCUUUUCUAGGGCUGAAAGACUCUGGGUGUCCAGAGAAAUGUCAGGAUGGAGCCGGCUGCUUAUCUCCUCUCCGCAGCCAGAGCAGCACAAUGCGGCCCCAGACCAGGCCCGCCUCUUAGAGGGGCCUGUCCUCUAAGUCCGUCGGCCCUGCUCGUACCCUCCAGCGCCUGGUGUCCGCCGGCGCCGGGCAUGACUCCAGCAUCAGUGGCAGCAGCACACCGCAGCCUCCCCCGCGUCUGCCCCGGCACCCGGGAUCCGCCGGCUCCCGCGUCAACAGCCGCGUUCACAUCAAGCAGCCCCUGCUGCAACUGCCGCAGAUGCCCAAUAGCCGCUUCGCGAACCCCCACGUUCGCGACCGCAGCUAGUUGCAGGUGGCUGAUCGCUUCCUCGUUGGUUGACUUUGUGGAAAAGCCGGCUAGCUUCACGUUUCCUAUGAGUCCAGUCUCAGGACCAGGGCAUUGGUGUAAAUUGCCGGAUAACAGUAAACAUAGUGAGAUUAUCAAACUGUUGUUGUAUUGGCGUUUUCUCAUGGCCCAUGUUUUACACUUUGGUCCAAUGUGUGGAGACUUUGUCCAAACCCAAGUAUGAAUUACACCUCGGCCAAAGCCGAGAUGUUUAUAUCCGAUGCCCGUUGUUAUACCGGUCUGGAAUUCGACUCCUUGGCAUUGGGAGGAAAUAUUUAUCCUGUUCAGAUAAACUACAAGGCUCUCCGUUGGAUUUCCACAAAGGCUUGAUAGUAAAGCAUAUCCUAGGAGAGCAGCAAGCACACCCGUCUCACCAGCCCGUGCCAUGGUGUGGAUCCGUCGACGGACGGAGGGAUUGAGGUUAGAGGUUAGAGGUUAGAGAGGCUGAUGGAGGUUGGCUCACUGUGUAGGUUGGGAAGUAUUAGAGCCGGGUUUCAGGUGGGUUUCUCUGUCUAUUUC